rnacentral:rRNA from 1 species
GACGAACGCUGGCGGCGUGCUUAACACAUGCAAGUCGAGCGGUAAGGCCCUUUCGGGGGUACACGAGCGGCGAACGGGUGAGUAACACGUGGGUGACCUGCCCUCAGCUCUGGGAUAAGCCUGGGAAACCGGGUCUAAUACUGGAUAUGACUCCAUGACGCAUGUUGUGGGGUGAAAGCCUUGUGCGGCUGAGGAUGGGCCCGCGGCCUAUCAGCUUGUUGGUGGGGUGAGGCCUACCAAGGCGACGACGGUAGCCGGCCUGAGAGGCGACCGGCCACACUGGGACUGAGACACGGCCCAGACUCCUACGGGA